CGACGUGAGGAACUGCCUUGAAGAGGGGGACAACAGUUGGAAACGAACUGCUAAUACCGCAUGAAGCAUAGGGGUCGCAUGAUUCUUAUGCCAAAGAUUUAUCGCUUCAAGAUGGCCUCGCGUCUGAUUAGCUGGUUGGCGGGGUGACGGCCCACCAAGGCGACGAUCAGUAGCCGGACUGAGAGGUUGAACGGCCACAUUGGGACUGAGAUACGGCCCAG
rnacentral:rRNA from 1 species